rnacentral:rRNA from 1 species
AUACAGAGGGUGCGAGCGUUAAUCGGAAUUACUGGGCGUAAAGCGUGCGCAGGCGGUUUUGUAAGACAGGCGUGAAAUCCCCGGGCUCAACCUGGGAAUGGCGCUUGUGACUGCAAGGCUAGAGUGCGUCAGAGGGGGGUAGAAUUCCACGUGUAGCAGUGAAAUGCGUAGAGAUGUGGAGGAAUACCGAUGGCGAAGGCAGCCCCCUGGGACGAGACUGACGCUCAUGCACGAAAGCGUGGGGAGCAAACAGGAGUAGAAACCCCAGUAGUCC